GACGUAGGGUGCAAGCGUUGUCCGGAUUUAUUGGGCGUAAAGAGCUCGUAGGCGGCUUGUCGCGUCGUCCGUGAAAACCUGCAGCUCAACUGCAGGCUUGCGGUCGAUACGGGCAGGCUAGAGUUCGGUAGGGGAGACUGGAAUUCCUGGUGUAGCGGUGAAAUGCGCAGAUAUCAGGAAGAACACCCGUGGCUAAGGCGGCUCUCUAGUACGGUACUGAUGCUGAGACGCGAAAGCGUGGGGAGCGAACAGG
rnacentral:rRNA from 1 species